AUAGCUGAAUUGUUGGCUAUGUGGUUUUAUGGGGCCCGAUAAUCUUUCUAAUCGCCAAACUUGAAGAAGAUUAUCGGGGUUUUCACUU
rnacentral:antisense_RNA from 1 species